AUAUUACCUGGCAGGAGAGAGAUUGUGAUCAUGAAAGUAUCUCUCUUGGAGUGAGGCUUAUCCAUUGCUCUCCAGAUGUGCCAACCUUGUUAUUUCUCCAACUGUGAGAAACUCAACUACAUAUUUUGUGGUAGUGGAAACCAAUGGUCACACUCUUUGCU